CGCGAUUCGCCCUUUGCCAGCAGCCGCGGUAAUACGUAGGGGGCAAGCGUUGUCCGGAAUCAUUGGGCGUAAAGAGCUCGUAGGCGGUUCAGUAAGUCGGGUGUGAAAGCUCCGAGCUCAACUCGGAGAGGCCACUCGAUACUGCUGUGACUAGAAUCCAGUAGGGGAGUGUGGAACUCCUGGUGUAGCGGUGAAAUGCGCAGAUAUCAGGAAGAACACCAGCGGCGAAGGCGGCACUCUGGGCUGGUAUUGACGCUGAGGAGCGAAAGUGUGGGUAGCGAACAGGAUUAGAUACCCUGGUAGUCC
rnacentral:rRNA from 1 species